rnacentral:rRNA from 1 species
UACGUAGGGUGCAAACGUUGCUCGGAAUCAUUGGGCGUAAAGCGCACGUAGGCGGUCUGUUAUGUCGGAUGUGAAAGCCCUUGGCUCAACUGAGGAAGUGCAUCCGAAACUGGCAGGCUAGAGUACGAAAGAGGAUCGCGGAAUUCCCGGUGUAGAGGUGAAAUUCGUAGAUAUCGGGAGGAACACCGGUGGCGAAGGCGGCGACCUGGGUAGAUACUGACGCUGAGGUGCGAAAGCGUGGGGAGCAAACAGG